rnacentral:lncRNA from 13 species
UAAUUGUAGAUAAUACCAGAAUGGACUUUAUCUUUCUGAACAAGUGCUGUUUUGAUAGCAUCCUGAAGUUCCAAAGAAACCCUUGUUUAGAAAAGUCGACUACUAGAGAAUGUUGACUCUUUCUGGGCUAAGCAGGUGCUGUGCUCUGUUGGUGUGUUCCCUUUGCUGAGAGUGGAAGAACCUUCCUGUAUGAGUGAGUCAAAAUUCAUCACGGGUAGAUAAGGAGGGAUUGGUGUUUUAUGAGUACCACUCCCAGGUUUUUCUCACAUAUAUCCAUAUAUAUGAAUGCAUAUUUUCCAUGUAAUUCUCAUGUCUCUCAUGGUCAAAAACUUCCCUUAAAUGAUGAAAAUACUUACUGGACACGAUUGCAAAGUGACCACAUUUAAACUGAGAACAUUUUGCUAAUCUGUGGAUAUGUUACCCUUUUGCAAAUCCUGUUUGAUCUCUCGGAACUAAAUAGGAUUAUUCUGGCUCUCAGACUUUCUCAAACACUGAACUGGAGUAGCUGCUGGCAUGUAUCAGGCAGCACCACGUAUGUCUGCCACAGCACGACGUUGGUAGAUACUGGGGAAAAUAAAUCUCUGAAUGCUGCACUGCCAGUCUGAAGACUUGAGUCACUUUGUAAUUUGGCACUUCACUGGACUGCAGGGCUGCUGUUCUCCUCAGCUAUUUACUGCCUCUGCCCCUGUUUUUCCUUGGGACAACUUUCCUUUCAGUUACCCAGCAAAGUUUUUGGAGAUCCACGCCAUGUAACUAAGAGGAGCUGGAAGGCUGGGAACAGUUGGAUCUGCAGAGGAGCUCAUGCUACUGUUAAGAAUGGAGCCUGUGGGUUGGAAAAGGCUGAGAGUGCUGACCUGGAUGCUUGGGACAGUUCAUAGCUUGGAUGCAGCACUGGAUAUGACAGCAGUUUACAUCUAACACUCACUUUCCUGCACAGAAGAACAAUUCCCAGUAAGGUGGAAGGAAACUUUUUUAGGGAAAGAAGUUAUUUUGAGUUCCAUGGACUUCUUUUGAGCCUCUCUUUAUCCCGGUUUUUGUUUUUCUUUUUGCCUUCCUUUCACAAUUUAUUAAAUCUCCUCAGACUUUCCUGGGCCAAACAGGUUGCUGUUGUUACACAUCACCAUCCAAGGUGUGCUGGCAGAUCAGCUCUAUUGCCAGGGAUCUACAAAUGAGAUCUCCAGCUUUUUGACACAGCUGAGGAGGUGUCACGUUUGAGCUGGUGAGGGGAUCUCUGGGGUGGUUCAGGACUGGUGUCCUGCAUGCUGUGGGGCUGAACUCUGAGCAAACCUCUUUUUUCCAGCAGACUGUGACUGUAAAAUUCUUCUAAAGUACACAGCCUUCCAAAGUUAGAGAUUUU